rnacentral:rRNA from 1 species
GAGUUUGAUCCUGGCUCAGGAUGAACGCUGGCGGCGUGCCUAACACAUGCAAGUCGAACGGAGUUUAUGAGGAAGAAGUCUUCGGCGGAAUUCUUAUAAACUUAGUGGCGGACGGGUGAGUAACACGUGGAGAACCUGCCUCUUACCGGGGGACAGCAAGUUGGAAACGACUGACUAAUACCGCGAUAAGCGCACGAGACCGCAUGGUCCUGUGUGAAAAAG